rnacentral:lncRNA from 1 species
UUGAUAGCGAAAGUAGUAUAUUACUUUAUUUUGAAGUUGUUAGGCCAAAGAAAAAUAUCAUAAGUGAUUUUCAUAGAUUAAUGCAAUAAAAAGAAAAUAAAUAGCUGAUAGUUGCACCAAAAUAAAUAUAAUUGAACUCAAAACAUAAAGUAAAGUCGAUGUUUCAAAAAGAAACACAUAAAUGCAUGUUUUUUUGUGAUUGUCCUGUUUUAAUGAUAAUAACAAAUUCGUUCAUCCUCUUAAAGUAGUAACAAUCUUCGUGUGCUUUAUCCAUCUCAUGGAUGUGACAAUAUGGUAGGAGCUUCAUUAUGGACGUAUAAGUUAAAUACUUUGUCUUCAAAAUGAUAUUGAAUCCAGUAAGUGAAUUCUUAAUCAUGGUCUAGCAUUGCUCUUAGUGUUAGUGAUC